rnacentral:rRNA from 1 species
CCUACGGGUGGCAGCAGUGGGGAAUAUUGCACAAUGGGGGAAACCCUGAUGCAGCGACGCCGCGUGAGUGAAGAAGUAUUUCGGUAUGUAAAGCUCUAUCAGCAGGGAAGAAGAAAGACGGUACCUGACUAAUAAGCCCCGGCUAACUACGUGCCAGCAGCCGCGGCAAUACGUAGGGGGCAAGCGUUAUUCGGAUUUACUGGGUGUAAAGGGAGCGUAGGCGGCUUGGCAAGUCUGAAGUGAAAGCCCAGGGAUCAACCCUGGGACUGCUUUGGAAACCGUGGAGCUAGAGUGCUGGAGAGGUAAGUGGAAUUCCAGGUGUAGCGGUGAAAUGCGUAGAUAUUAGGAGGAAGACCAGUGGCGAAGGCGGCUUACUGGA